rnacentral:rRNA from 1 species
AGAGUUUGAUCAUGGCUCAGAACGAACGCUGGCGGCGCGUUUUAAGCAUGCAAGUCGGACGGCAAGCACUGUAGCAAUAUGGUGCCGAGAGUGGCGAACGGGUGAGUAACACGUAGGUGAUCUACCUCUGGAUGGGGGAUAGCCCGUGGAAACACGGGGUAAUACCGCAUGAGGCCCUUGGUGUAAAGGCCGAGGGUGAAAGGUGCAAUUGCACCGUCUGGGGAUGAGCCUGCGGUCCAUUAGUUAGUUGGCGGGGUAAAGGCCCACCAAGACUCCGAUGGAUAGCCGGUCUGAGAGGAUGGCCGGCCACACUGGGACUGAGACACGGCCCAGACUCCUACGGGAGGCAGCAGUAGGGAAUCUUGCGCAAUGGGCGAAAGCCUGACGCAGCCAUGCCGCGUGAAUGAUGAAGGUCUUAGGAUUGUAAAAUUCUUUCAGCGGGGAAGAUAAUGACGGUACCCGCAGAAGAAGCCCCGGCUAACUUCGUGCCAGCAGCCGCGGUAAUACGAAGGGGGCUAGCGUUGCUCGGAAUUACUGGGCGUAAAGGGCGCGUANGCGGACGUUUAAGUCANAGGUGAAAUCCCAGGGCUCAACCCUGGAAUUGCCUUUGAUACUGGAUGUCUUGAGUAC